rnacentral:rRNA from 1 species
GAUGAACGCUGGCGGCGUGCCUAAUACAUGCAAGUCGAGCGAACGGACGAGAAGCUUGCUUCUCUGAUGUUAGCGGCGGACGGGUGAGUAACACGUGUAUAACCUACCUAUAAGACUGGGAUAACUUCGGGAAACCGGAGCUAAUACCGGAUGAUAUUUUGAACCGCAUGGUUCAAAAGUGAAAGACGGUCUUGCUGUCACUAAUAGAUGGAUCCGCGCUGCAUUAGCUAGUUGGUAAGUUAACGGCUUACCAAGGCAACGAUGCAUAGCCGACCUGAGAGGGUGAUCGGCCACACUGGAACUGAGACACGGUCCAGACGCCUACGGGAGGCAGCAGUAGGGAAUCUGCCGCAAUGGGCGAAAGCCUGACGGAGCAACGCCGCGUGAGAGAUGAAGGUCUUCGGAUCGUAAAACUCUGUUAUUAGGGAAGAACAGAUGUGUAAGUAACUGUGCACAUCUUGACGGUACCUAAUCAGAAAGCCACGGCUAACUACGUG